AUUAUGACACUGGUGUGAUAUCUCAAGUUACUCAACAUCUCUGCUCGUCCCAAUGUGGAUGCAUCAGGUCUCAAAUUGCCAGAGAAGAAGGGCUCAAUAAUCAAGACAACAGCGACUGUAGCACCAAGAUACUUGUGCAAGAAAUCCUGAAUCAUCCCAAACCACCAGUGCUCAUGAAGAACGGCCUUCAUAUGCCGAACUAGAGUCUUAAACUUCUGUUGAAUGUGAAAAUCUUCUCUGGUUUCACCACCAUAAAAUGCUAUGCUUUCUGCAUGGGUCCUUAAUCUUGAGUGAAGCUGCCUGUAUUCCCCUUCCAGUUGCUGUUCUUUUGACAUUAGUUUCCCAAAUGGAGGUGAGAAAUUUCUAAUAGUAAGCCCUGCUCCCAGUACAUAUGCCAAAAUCCAGAAAAGAUACUUCGGACUUGCAUACGAACACAGGCGCCAAG
rnacentral:misc_RNA from 1 species